rnacentral:rRNA from 1 species
GAUGAACGCUAGCGGCAGGCUUAAUACAUGCAAGUCGUGGGGCAGCAUGGUGUAGCAAUACACUGAUGGCGACCGGCAAACGGGUGCGGAACACGUACGCAACUUACCCAAAACUGGGGAAUAGCCCGGGGAAACCCGGAUUAAUACCUCGUAACAUAAUGAAGUGGCAUCACUUUAUUAUUAUAGCUCCGGCGGUUUUGGAUGGGCGUGCGCCUGAUUAGGUAGUUGGCGGGGUAACGGCCCACCAAGCCUACGAUCAGUAACUGGUGUGAGAGCACGACCAGUCACACGGGCACUGAGACACGGGCCCGACUCCUACGGGAGGCAGCAGUAAGGAAUAUUGGUCAAUGGACGCAAGUCUGAACCAGCCAUGCCGCGUGAAGGAUGAAGGUCCUCUGGAUUGUAAACUUCUUUUAUAUGGGACGAAACCCUCGGAUUCUUCCGGGAUUGACGGUACCAUAGGAAUAAGCACCGGCUAACUCCGUGC